rnacentral:rRNA from 1 species
UACGUAGGGUGCAAGCGUUGUCCGGAAUUAUUGGGCGUAAAGAGCUCGUAGGCGGUUUGUCGCGUCGGCUGUGAAAACCCGGGGCUCAACCCCGGGCCUGCAGUCGAUACGGGCAAACUAGAGUGCGGUAGGGGAGACUGGAAUUCCUGGUGUAGCGGUGAAAUGCGCAGAUAUCAGGAGGAACACCGGUGGCGAAGGCGGGUCUCUGGGCCAUUACUGACACUGAGAAGCGAAAGCAUGGGGAGCGAACAGG